rnacentral:rRNA from 1 species
UUAAAUUUUUGAAGUUAUCUUAGCUUUUUUGUUGGGUGAAAUCAGUAUAAAGAGUUUCUCUUUCUUUUAAAAUUAAUAGGAAUUAAAAAACUUUGAUUUAAAACCAGGAUUAGAUACCCUGUUAUUCUAAGUUAUAUUUAGACAGGGUAGUAAAAGUUGUUCUUCAAACCCAAAGAUUUUGGCGGCACUUUAUCCAAAUAGAGGAGCUUGUCCCUUAAUCGAUAGUCCCCGUUUUAUCUUUCCUCUGUUUGUAGAGCUUGUAUACCGCCGUUGUCAGAUCACUUUUAGAGAAUGUUUUCAAGUUAAAAGACUUUUUUACUUCAGGUCAAGGUGCAGUUUAUAUAGAGGUGGAGGUGAGCUACAAUUUUCUUUAGAAAUACGGAUUUCAAGCCUYGAAUCUGGUUGAAGGUGGAUUUAUUAGUAAAGUAA